rnacentral:rRNA from 2 species
ACCCUUUAAUGUUUGAUGUUCUAACGUGGACCCGUGAUCCGGGUUGCGGACAGUGUCUGGUGGGUAGUUUGACUGGGGCGGUCUCCUCCUAAAGAGUAACGGAGGAGCACGAAGGUUGGCUAAUCCUGGUCGGACAUCAGGAGGUUAGUGCAAUGGCAUAAGCCAGCUUGACUGCGAGCGUGACGGCGCGAGCAGGUGCGAAAGCAGGUCAUAGUGAUCCGGUGGUUCUGAAUGGAAGGGCCAUCGCUCAACGGAUAAAAGGUACUCCGGGGAUAACAGGCUGAUACCGCCCAAGAGUUCAUAUCGACGGCGGUGUUUGGCACCUCGAUGUCGGCUCAUCACAUCCUGGGGCUGAAGUAGGUCCCAAGGGUAUGGCUGUUCGCCAUUUAAAGUGGUACGCGAGCUGGGUUUAGAACGUCGUGAGACAGUUCGGUCCCUAUCUGCCGUGGGCGCUGGAGAACUGAGGGGGGCUGCUCCUAGUACGAGAGGACCGGAGUGGACGCAUCACUGGUGUUCGGGUUGUCAUGCCAAUGGCACUGCCCGGUAGCUAAAUGCGGAAGAGAUAAGUGCUGAAAGCAUCUAAGCACGAAACUUGCCCCGAGAUGAGUUCUCCCUGAGACUUAAAGUCUCCUGAAGGAACGUUGAAGACGACGACGUUGA